UACGUAGGGGGCUAGCGUUGUCCGGAAUCAUUGGGCGUAAAGAGCGUGUAGGCGGCUUGGUAAGUCCGCUGUGAAAGUCCAGGGCUCAACCCUGGAAUGCCAGUGGAUACUGUCAAGCUAGAGUCCGGAAGAGGCGAGUGGAAUUCCUGGUGUAGCGGUGAAAUGCGCAGAUAUCAGGAGGAACACCAAUGGCGAAGGCGGCUCACUGGCUCAUUUCUGACGCUCAGGCGCGACAGCGUGGGGAUCAAACAGG
rnacentral:rRNA from 1 species